GAUGAACGCUAGCUACAGGCUUAACACACGCAAGUCGAGGGGUAACGAGAGGAAAGCUUGCUUUCCUUGUCGACGACCGGCGCACGGGUGAGUAAUGCGUAUCCAACCUGCCCCCAACUAAGUAAUAACCUUGCGAAAGUAAGACUAAUACCUUAUAAUUUCCUCAGAUGUCAUCUGACGAGGAAUAAAGAUUUAUCGGUUGUGGAUGGGGAUGCGUCUGAUUAGCUUGUUGGCGGGGUAACGGCCCACCAAGGCAACGAUCAGUAGGGGUUCUGAGAGGAAGGUCCCCCACAUGGGAACUGAGACACGGUCCAAACUCCUACGGGAGGCAGCAGUGAGGAAUAUUGGUCAAUGGGCGGAAGCCUGAACCGGCCAAGUAGCGUGCAGGAUGACGGCCCUAUGGGUUGUAAACUGCUUUUAUACAGGAAUAAAGUUAGCCACGUGUGGUUAUUUGUAGGUACUGUAUGAGUAAGGACCGGCUAAUUCCGUGCCAGCAGCCGCCGUAA
rnacentral:rRNA from 1 species